GAUGAACGCUGGCGGCGUGCCUAAUACAUGCAAGUCGAGCGAACAGACGAGUACCUUGCUCCUCUCUCGUUUGCGGAAGACGGGUGAGUCACACGUGGAUACCCUCCCUAUCAUACUGGGAUAACUUCGGGACUCCGGCGCUUAUCCCGGAUAAUAUUUUGAACCGCAUGGUUCAAUAGUGAAAUACGGUUUUGCUGUCACUUAUAGCUGGAUCCGCGCUGCAUUAGCUAGUUGGUAAGGUAACGGCUUACCAAGGCGACGAUGCGUAGCCGACCUGAGAGGGUGAUCGGCCACACUGGAACUGAGACACGGUCCAGACUCCUACGGGAGGCAGCAGUAGGGAAUCUGCCGCAAUGGGCGAAAGCCUGACGGAGCAACGCCGCGUGAGUGAUGAAGGUCUUCGGAUCGUAAAACUCUGUUAUUAGGGAAGAACAAAUGUGUAAGUAACUAUGCACGUCUUGACGGUACCUAAUCAGAAAGCCACGGCUAACUACGUG
rnacentral:rRNA from 1 species